UACACUUGUGUUCUUCUUCCAGGAUUCUUGCUCAAUUUCAGGCAAUUGAGUACUCCAGCCAAGCAGCCCUUCCUUGACCAUGUUGAUUAUACCUAUCGCCUAUCCCUCAAUCUUGCAUUAAGUUACGAUCUCAGUCUUGUCACGAUCCCUCUAGGUUGCAUAGCUUAUUAGUCAGCUCUCCUUAUUGCCCUAUGUCUUGUUACUUGUCCUAUUACCAUGUCACAUGUUUGUUGUUGCCCUGGUUGGUCAUUAGAAGUCUUGCUUAGAUGACUAGUCUAGUGUCCUAACUUGGGGUUAUACAAUUGCUACAUCCACAUGCUACAUUCUGUAUUUAAUUGCAAUUAUUAAACUGUGACCUAUUAUUACCUGCACAAGGCAACGAUGGGAGGCCGUGCUAACGCAUUGGUGUUUUGUUCAAUUGGCGCCGACCUAAGGACUGAGUUCUCGUUUUCGCCGACCGAAGAAACUUCACGCUAACCGCUCGUGGGAGAAUAUAUGGGUUCCCCCUUGGCUUAGUACUCGUUUCAUAGCUCCUCCAGGAGCCAUAUAGUUUGGGCGUUCCAUUUGGCAUUUGCAUUGCAUGCACACAGAGAUUCGUGGAGACUUGUUGGUGACUUUGCAUUCAUAUAGGAUUGCGGCACUAG
rnacentral:lncRNA from 1 species